AGCGAACGCUGGCGGCAGGCUUAACACGUGCAAGUCGAACGGGCACUUCGGUGCUAGUGGCAGACGGGUGAGUAACACGUGGGAACGUACCUUUCGGUUCGGAAUAAUACAGGGAAACUUGUACUAAUACCGGAUACGCCCUUCGGGGGAAAGAUUUAUCGCCGAUAGAUCGGCCCGCGUCUGAUUAGCUAGUUGGUGAGGUAAUGGCUCACCAAGGCGACGAUCAGUAGCUGGUCUGAGAGGAUGAUCAGCCACACUGGGACUGAGACACGGCCCAGACUCCUACGGGAGGCAGCAGUGGGGAAUAUUGGACAAUGGGCGAAAGCCUGAUCCAGCCAUGCCGCGUGAGUGAUGAAGGCCUUAGGGCUGUAAAGCUCUUUUGUCCGGGAAGAUAAUGGCUGUACCGGAAGAAUAAGCCCCGGCUAACUUCGUGCCAGCCGCCGCGGUAA
rnacentral:rRNA from 1 species